UACGUAGGUGGCAAGCGUUGUCCGGAAUUAUUGGGCGUAAAGCGCGCGCAGGCGGUCCUUUAAGUCUGAUGUGAAAGCCCACGGCUCAACCGUGGAGGGUCAUUGGAAACUGGGGGACUUGAGUACAGAAGAGAAGAGUGGAAUUCCACGUGUAGCGGUGAAAUGCGUAGAGAUGUGGAGGAACACCAGUGGCGAAGGCGACUCGCUGGACUUGUGGUGACGCUGAGACGCGAAAGCGUGGGUAGCAAACAGG
rnacentral:rRNA from 1 species